rnacentral:rRNA from 1 species
UACAGAGGGUGCGAGCGUUAAUCGGAAUUACUGGGCGUAAAGCGCGCGUAGGCGGCUUUGUAAGUCGGGUGUGAAAGCCCCGGGCUCAACCUGGGAAUUGCGUUCGAGACUGCAUAGCUAGGAUGCGGAAGAGGGAAGUGGAAUUUCCGGUGUAGCGGUGAAAUGCGUAGAUAUCGGGAGGAACACCAGUGGCGAAGGCGACUUCCUGGCCUGUUCUUGACGCUGAGGCGCGAAAGCUAGGGUAGCAAACGGG